rnacentral:pre_miRNA from 1 species
CAUCUGAUAUACAAUAUUUUCUUAAAUUGUAAAAAGAGAAAUUAUUGUAUAUCAGAUGAG